rnacentral:rRNA from 1 species
UUCCUACGGGGGGCAGCAGUGGGGAAUAUUGGGCAAUGGGCGAAAGCCUGACCCAGCAAUGCCGCGUGAAUGAAGAAGGUCUUAGGAUUGUAAAAUUCUGUCCUAUGGGAAGAAACAAAUGACGGUACCAUAGGAGGAAGCCCCGGCUAACUACGUGCCAGCAGCCGCGGUAAUACGUAGGGGGCGAGCGUUGUCCGGAAUUACUGGGCGUAAAGAGAGCGUAGGCGGCACUACAAGUCUCAUGUGAAAGCCUUGGGCUUAACCCGAGGAUUGCAUUUGGAACUAUCAAGCUAGAGUACAGGAGG